rnacentral:rRNA from 1 species
GUGGGGAAUAUUGGACAAUGGGCGAAAGCCUGAUCCAGCCAUGCCGCGUGUGUGAAGAAGGUCUUCGGAUUGUAAAGCACUUUAAGUUGGGAGGAAGGGCAGUAAGUUAAUACCUUGCUGUUUUGACGUUACCGACAGAAUAAGCACCGGCUAACUUCGUGCCAGCAGCCGCGGUAAUACGAAGGGUGCAAGCGUUAAUCGGAAUUACUGGGCGUAAAGCGCGCGUAGGUGGUUUUGUAAGUUGGAGGUGAAAUCCCCGGGCUCAACCUGGGAACUGCCACCAAAACUGCAUGACUAGAGUACGGUAGAGGGUAGUGGAAUUUCCUGUGUAGCGGUGAAAUGCGUAGAUAUAGGAAGGAACACCAGUGGCGAAGGCGACUACCUGGACUGAUACUGACACUGAGGUGCGAAAGCGUGGGGAGCAAACAGGAUUAGAUACCCGAGUAGUCC